rnacentral:rRNA from 1 species
ACUACAUGAAGCUGGAAUCGCUAGUAAUCGCGGAUCAGAAUGCCGCGGUGAAUACGUUCCCGGGUCUUGUACACACCGCCGUCACACCAUGGGAGUCGGAAAUGCCCGAAGUCUGUGACCCAACCGGAAGGAAGGAGCAGCCGAAGGCAGGUCUGAUGACUGGGGUGAAGUCGUAACAAGGUAGC